UACGGAGGGUGCGAGCGUUGUCCGGAAUCACUGGGCGUAAAGGGCGCGUAGGCGGCUCGUUAAGUGGUCGGUGAAAGCCCCGGGCUCAACCUGGGAACUGCAUUCGAGACUGCAUUACUCGAGUAUGGGAGAGGGCAGUGGAAUUUCCGGUGUAGCGGUGAAAUGCGUAGAUAUCGGAAGGAACAUCAGUGGCGAAAGCGACUGCCUGGCCCAAUACUGACGCUCAUGUGCGAAAGCGUGGGGAGCAAACAGG
rnacentral:rRNA from 1 species